rnacentral:lncRNA from 1 species
GAGAGAGAGAGAGGAAGGAGCUUCAAAGACAAGAGGUAGAGGAUAGACAAAGGGAUCCGGUGAUCCUAGUGUUAUAAGUGUUAUACAGUAGAUCUGGAUUCCUGGAAACAUCUGAGUUCACACACAGUUUGACAGCUGUUGUACAGUGUCAUGUUUCUCUGUAGUGGCCUGCUUGAUGUGGUCAGUUUGGGAUGAUAUGUAUUGGACCCAAGGUGGAGCAGUGGUCAUUACCCACCGUCACCCAUCACCAUGCCAAAAACACCUCCUUGCAGCUCCAGUCUCCAUACAGCAUGGUGUCUUCUAGGUGAACUGACUCUACCUGGCUGAACAUGGGGGACAUGUAUUUUAUAAGAAGCAGACAUAAAAAGGCAGCAACAGGAACAUCUUCAUCUCACCCAGUUGUGCAAGACAUGGGAUGUGGCAAGUUUUAGGAUGAAUGAACAGCCAGAGACAGGACAGCCAUUGUAAACAGGAAAUACAGUUCCGGAAUUGUAUGAAGAACUGCUGGCAGACCAAGAGGUCAAUUUUAUACUGAGUGAGAGAGAGUGCUGCCAGAACCACCCAGAACAAGACUUCCAAACAUGGCAGAUCCUGUGGAGCCAGUUAUAUGGAACAAUACAAUUACACAACAAAUGUGGGUUUCAGGUAACACAAAGAAUCCAUUUCCCCCAUAUACAUGGAAACUAUAGAGGCAGGGUAUAUAAAGCAAGGAGAUUGUUUUGGACAAUACUCUAUCACUGAAGACAAAUAGACACAAUGGAAAUGUUUAAAAGUGAAUUGAUAUUUCAGCUCAGUUGUGAUGUGUUAUAAUAAUUUUCCCCAUAUGCAUGGAAACUGUUACAGUACUAGUAGAGGUAGCAUAUACAGUGAGAUCGUGGUAGACAAUAAGUCAUCACUGAAGAGAAAAAGACAUCAGUGAAAAUGUUUAAAUGUGAAUAUAUAUUUCAGGUCAGAUAUGAUGUGUUAUAGAUGAUCUCUGUUAUUGUGAGGUCAUUAAGGUAUAAUUGCAAAUUUUAUGACAUAUUUAUUAUAUACAGACACUUUCAGUCUGUCUAUAUUCUGAUCACUGUGUCUGUCCAGUGUCAUUGCCAUAGUCAGCACUUUGUGACACAUCUGUUGUUUACCCUAAAACUGGUAAUCUGUAUUUUUGUUUUGAAUUCCUCUAGAAACUCUGCAUGAUUUGAUUAUUUUAUGAUAUUGUUUUGUUAUCAUUAGCAGUUUGGAUAUGAUGCUACAGUAUUUCCUGAGUAUAUCAAAUUCAAGUAAUUUCUGAUUCUGAUAUUUAUUUUAAUUACUAAAUAUUGCCAUCUUGUGAAUUUAUGAAAUUAUUAUAAGUUCAUUGUUAAAUGAUUUGUCAGGUGCAUGGCAGCAGUCAGAAGGUUCAUUGGUCUGAUAGUUUGAUGAUGCCAA